AUUGAACGCUGGCGGCAUGCUUUACACAUGCAAGUCGAACGGCAGCGCGGGCUUCGGCCUGGCGGCGAGUGGCGAACGGGUGAGUAAUACAUCGGAACGUGCCCAGUAGUGGGGGAUAGCUCGGCGAAAGCCGGAUUAAUACCGCAUACGACCUGAGGGUGAAAGCGGGGGAUCUUCGGACCUCGCGCUAUUGGAGCGGCCGAUGGCAGAUUAGCUAGUUGGUGGGGUAAAGGCCUACCAAGGCGACGUUCUGUAGCUGGUCUGAGAGGACGACCAGCCACACUGGGACUGAGACACGGCCCAGACUCCUACGGGAGGCAGCAGUGGGGAAUUUUGGACAAUGGGCGAAAGCCUGAUCCAGCAAUGCCGCGUGUGUGAUGAAGGCCUUCGGGUUGUAAAGCACUUUUGGCGGGAACGAAAAGGACUGUGCCAAUACCACGGUUCGAUGACGGUACCCGCAGAAUAAGCACCGGCUAACUACGUG
rnacentral:rRNA from 1 species